rnacentral:rRNA from 1 species
GACGAACGCUGGCGGCGUGCCUAAUACAUGCAAGUCGAACGCAGUGGGGACGGGUUCGUAACACGUUGGUAACCUCCCAUCAGAGGGGAGAACACUUGGCAACAGGUGCUAAACCGAUCCUGAUGGAUGGACCCGCGGUGCAUUAGCUAGUUGGUGGGGUAACGGCUCACCAAGGCCACGAUGCAUCGCCGACCGGAGAGGGGUAUCGGCCACACUGGGACUGAGACACGGCCCAGAUGCCUACGGGAGGCAGCAGUGGGGAAUAUUCGGCAAUGGACGAAAGUCUGACCGAGCAACGCCGCGUGAGUGAAGAAGGUUUUCGGAUCGUAAAACUCUGUUGUUAGAGAAGCGGUAUCUAACCAGAAAGCCACGGCUAACUACGUGCCAGCAGCCGCGGUAAUAC